rnacentral:rRNA from 1 species
GUGGAUUAGAUACCCUGGUAGUCCAUGCCGUAAACGGUGGGCGCUAGGUGUGGGUCUCAUUCCACGAGAUCCGUGCCGCAGCUAACGCAUUAAGCGCCCCGCCUGGGGAGUACGGCCGCAAGGCUAAAACUCAAAGGAAUUGACGGGGGCCCGCACAAGCGGCGGAGCAUGUGGAUUAAUUCGAUGCAACGCGAAGAACCUUACCAAGGCUUGACAUAUACCGGAAACACCCAGAGAUGGGUGCCCCGCAAGGUCGGUAUACAGGUGGUGCACGGUCGUCGCCAGCU